rnacentral:snoRNA from 1 species
UGCCUCGUUAUUCAGCAAAUCGACACAGCUCACUGUGUGUCUGAAUUGAAGACGUGGCUAGAGGAGAAACAGGUUGUGCUUUCCUCACUGUACUGAUAAUUGCAGUGGUGACAAUGAGACCUGUAACAGGU